UACGUAGGGUGCGAGCGUUGCCCGGAUUUAUUGGGCGUAAAGGGCGCGUAGGCGGCUCUGCACGUCCGUUGUGAAAUCGCCCGGCUCAACUGGGCGGGGUCAGCGGAUACGGCGGAGCUUGAGCAAGCUAGGGGGCAAUGGAAUUCCCGGUGUAGUGGUGGAAUGCGUAGAGAUCCGGAGGAACACCGGUGGCGAAGGCGGUCUGCUGGGCCAAGACUGACGCUGAGGCGCGACAGCGUGGGGAGCAAACAGG
rnacentral:rRNA from 1 species